rnacentral:pre_miRNA from 10 species
GGAUGAGGAGGAAGCCCUGUAGGGGCUGGAGGUGAUGGAUGUUUUCUCCGGUUCUCAGACUCCACAUCUUUCG